CCCUACGGGGGGCAGCAGUGGGGGAUAUUGCACAAUGGGGGGAACCCUGAUGCAGCGACGCCGCGUGGGUGAAGAAGCGCCUCGGCGCGUAAAGCCCUGUCCGCAGGGAAGAAAAUGACGGUACCUGAAGAAGAAGCCCCGGCUAACUACGUGCCAGCAGCCGCGGUAAUACGUAGGGGGCAAGCGUUAUCCGGAUUUACUGGGUGUAAAGGGGGCGCAGACGGCGAUGCAAGCCAGGGGUGAAAGCCCGGGGCCCAACCCCGGGACUGCUCUUGGAACUGCGUGGCUGGAGUGCAGGAGGGGCG
rnacentral:rRNA from 1 species